CUGCAGGAUCAAAUAAAUGUUCUCUUUCUUCCUAAUAAAUUAGGGUACUUCCUUAUCACAAAAGAAACCAGAUGCAGUCCAAAUCCACAAAGACAAACUAAAUUGUACAUCAGUCAGAGAAAUAACUACUGUUGUUCAAAACAAUCACAUGUUCCAAAUGAGUUGGGUAAGUCUAUGUCAACAAAGAUAGAUUUACACCUAACUGUGUAAGACUAUCAUUCUGUCCUGUUACUGUGAAAAUCAAGCAACUAUAUAAAUUGCCAAAAAAAAAAGUUCACUAGAUGCUGAAGUAAUAAGAUUCAUGUGUAAACAGAUCGUUGACUUAAAAACAAUAGCCAGUGACAUCAACAAAGAUUUUUACAAGCAACAGAAACAGUCGUAAAGUUUGACUGCUUCAAUAAUUAUACCUCAAAGGCAGUGGAAGAAUAUUAGAUACUCGUGGAAAGGAAGGGAGAAUUUCAAUUCGAGUUCUGCCACUCCAUUCUUCG
rnacentral:lncRNA from 1 species